AGUGAACGCUGGCGGUAGGCCUAACACAUGCAAGUCGAACGGCAGCACAGUAAGAGCUUGCUCUUACGGGUGGCGAGUGGCGGACGGGUGAGGAAUACAUCGGAAUCUACUUUUUCGUGGGGGAUAACGUAGGGAAACUUACGCUAAUACCGCAUACGACCUACGGGUGAAAGCAGGGGAUCUUCGGACCUUGCGCGAUUGAAUGAGCCGAUGUCGGAUUAGCUAGUUGGCGGGGUAAAGGCCCACCAAGGCGACGAUCCGUAGCUGGUCUGAGAGGAUGAUCAGCCACACUGGAACUGAGACACGGUCCAGACGCCUACGGGAGGCAGCAGUGGGGAAUAUUGGACAAUGGGCGCAAGCCUGACCCAGCCAUACCGCGUGGGUGAAGAAGGCCUUCGGGUUGUAAAGCCCUUUUGUUGGGAAAGAAAAGCAGCAGGUUAAUACCCCGCUGUUCUGACGGUACCCAAAGAAUAAGCACCGGCUAACUUCGUG
rnacentral:rRNA from 1 species